rnacentral:rRNA from 1 species
UUACCAGGCCUUGACAUGCAGAGAACUUUCCAGAGAUGGAUUGGUGCCUUCGGGAACUCUGACACAGGUGCUGCAUGGCUGCCGUCAGCUCGUGUCGUGAGAUGUUGGGUUAAGUCCCCGUAACGAGCGCAACCCUUGUCCUCAGUUACCAGCACGUUAUCGGUGGGCACUCUAAGGAGACUGCCGGUGACAAACCGGAGGAAGGUGGGGAUGACGUCAAGUCAUCAUGGCCCUUACGGCCUGGGCUACACACGUGCUACAAUGGUCGGUACAAAGGGUUGCCAAGCCGCGAGGUGGAGCUAAUCCCAUAAAACCGAUCGUAGUCCGGAUCGCAGUCUGCAACUCGACUGCGUGAAGUCGGAAUCGCUAGUAAUCGUGAAUCAGAAUGUCACGGUGAAUACGUUCCCGGGCCUU